rnacentral:rRNA from 1 species
UACCUGCAGCCCAAGUGGUGAUCGCUAUUAUUGGGCCUAAAACGUCCGUAGCCGGUUCUAUAAAUGCCUGGGUAAAUCGUACGGCUUAACCGUACGAAUUCCGGGUAGACUGUUCAACUUGGGACCGGGAUAGGCUAGAGGUACUCCUGGGGUAGAGGUGAAAUUCUGUAAUCCUAGGGGGACCACCAGUGGCGAAGGCGUCUAGCUAGAACGGGUCUGACGGUGAGGGACGAAGCCUUGGGGAGCAAACGGGAUUAGAUACCCCGGUAGUCCAGGGUGUAAACGCUGCUCGCUUGAUGUUAGUCGGGCUCCGAGCCCAACUAGUGUCGGAGAGAAGUUGUUAAGCGAGCUGCCUGGGAAGUACGGUCGCAAGACUGAAACUUAAGGAAUUGGCGGGGAGCACCGCAACGGGUGGAGCGUGCGGUUU